GUCGUCAUGAAACCAGAUUAAACAGUAAUGCAGAGGGAAUUUCUUCACAGGAAAAUAUGAGCGAAAGUCUGAGAAGCAGAUUCCGAACAUACAACAGAUGGCGAGCUGGCCAAAAGGAACGAGCACUCCCAGCAAUGAUCCAUCGGAAGGAAUUCAGUCUGCCAGAAACUUCAGUCAGACAGACAGACUGAACGACAUACUUUAUUGAUCCCGAAGGAAAUUGGCUCUCGUUACAUUCACACUAAGCAGGAAUUGUGUAGAAAUAUAGCAAUAUUUAACUAGAAAUAAUUAAAUAAUUAUAAAUUAUGCCAAGCAGAAAUAAUCAGUGAUUCAUAGUCACUUUAUUUGUGACAACAUUAAUUCGUCAUGAGCUAAGUACUGUCUCUGUUAUAGUCUAUUCGUUUACUCUAUUAAUAAUUCAUAUUACAUUUCAAGCAAGGUAAAGGUGCAGAAGGAGGCCAUUCGACCCAUUGAGUCUGCUCUGCCACUCCACCAUGAGCUGAACUAUUCUCCCAUCUAGAUCCAAUUUCCGACUUUUUCCCCAUAUCCCUUGAUACACUGACUAAUUAGAUACCUAUCAAUCUCCUCCUUAAGCACCUUCAAUGAUUGGGCCUCCACACUGUAUGUGGCAACGAAUUCCAUAAUUCCACCACCAUCUGGCUAAAAAUAUGUACCUUUUGCGAUAAUUUGAUGAGAAUGCCAGUAGGAUAGAUAAAGGGGAUGCAGUGUAUUUUGUAUAUCUGGGCGUUAAGAAGUCCUUUGACACAAGUGCCACACAGAAGGCUGCGUAUUUAAUUAAGAGCCCAUGAUAUUACAAGAAUGUUACUAACAUGGGUAGUACAUUGGCUGAUUGGUAGGAGGCAGCGAGUGGGAAUAAAUGGAUCCUGUUCUGGUUGGCUGCCAGUGGCUAGUGGUGAUCCGCAGGGUUCCUAUGGGGCCACUUAUUUUUAUGCUGUAUAUAAUGACUUAGAUGAAGGAAUAGAUGGUUUUCCUGCCAGGUUUGCAGAUAUUAGGAAUAUUGGUGGAGGGACAUGAAAUGUUGAGGAAACAGAUAUGAUAGAAACAUAGAAACACGGAACUACUGCACAAUACAGGCCCUCCAGCCUACAAAGCUGUGCCGAACAUGUCCUUACCUUAGAAAUUUUGCAUUAUGCCGAUGACCUUUUGCUUUAUAUUCCUAAUGUUGAGACUUUAUUAGCUAUCGUACAUUCUUUUGUCUCCUGUUUUAGUCAGUAUUCAGGAUAAGAGUGAACUUUUUCUAUUGAAUCAUUUAGUAUCAAUUAAUACUAACCUUCCUUUUAAAAUUGUAAGAAAUAAACUUACUUAUUUGGAUGGAACAAUUACUAAGAACCAUAAAUAGUUAUUUAAAGAAAAUUUGGGCCUGGGACCCCAAGAUCCCUCUGAUCCUCCUCACUGCCAAGAGUCUAGGCAUUAACUCUACAUUCUGCCAUCAUAUUUGACCUACCAAAAUGAACCAGGCCACACUUAUCUGGGUUGAACUUCAUCUACCAUUUCUCAGCCCAGUUUUGCAUCUUAUUAAUGCCUCAUCUCAUUAAAUUACCUCGUCUCAGUCAUUUAUAAAAAUCACGAAGAGUUGGAGUCCCAGAAUAGAUCCCUGAGGCACAACACUGGACUCUGGCCUCCAUGCAGAAUAUGACCCGUCUCCAAGCACAUUUUGCCUUCUUGGGCUAAGUCAGUUCAGGAUCCACAAAGCAAUGUCUCCUUGGAUCCCAUGUAUCCUUACUUUCUCAUGGGGUUGAGGAGGAGAUAAAACAAAGGAUCAUCAGUGAUUGAAUGGCAGAGCUGAUUCAAUGGGCCCGAUUAUCUCAUUCUGC